rnacentral:rRNA from 1 species
UACGGAGGGUGCAAACGUUGCUCGGCAUCAUUGGGCGUAAAGCGCACGUAGGCGGCUUUGUAAGUCGGAUGUGAAAUCCCUGGGCUUAACCGAGGAAGUGCAUUCGAAACUGCAAGGCUUGAAUACAGGAGAGGAUCGCGGAAUUCCCGGUGUAGAGGUGAAAUUCGUAGAUAUCGGGAGGAACACCAGAGGCGAAGGCGGCGAUCUGGACUGAUAUUGACGCUGAGGUGCGAAAGCGUGGGGAGCAAACAGG